GAUGAACGCUAGCGGCAGGCUUAACACAUGCAAGUCGAGGGGCAGCGUAGAUUGCUUGCAAUCUGACGGCGACCGGCGAACGGGUGCGUAACGCGUAUAGAAUCUGCCUUGUACAGAGGGAUAGCCUUUAGAAAUGAAGAUUAAUACCUCAUGGUACUGAUUUCUGGCAUCGGGAAUUAGUUAAAGAUUUAUUGGUACAAGAUGACUAUGCGUCCUAUUAGCUAGAUGGUAAGGUAACGGCUUACCAUGGCUACGAUAGGUAGGGGGUCUGAGAGGAUUAUCCCCCACACUGGUACUGAGACACGGACCAGACUCCUACGGGAGGCAGCAGUGAGGAAUAUUGGACAAUGGGCGGAAGCCUGAUCCAGCCAUGCCGCGUGCAGGAAGACUGCCCUAUGGGUUGUAAACUGCUUUUAUACAGGAAGAAACUGUUCUACGUGUAGAACACUGACGGUACUGUAAGAAUAAGCACCGGCUAACUCCG
rnacentral:rRNA from 1 species